rnacentral:rRNA from 1 species
UACGGGGGGGGCAAGCGUUGUUCGGAAUUACUGGGCGUAAAGCGUGCGUAGGCGGUUCGUUAAGUCUGUUGUGAAAGCCCUGGGCUCAACCUGGGGACUGCAGUGGAUACUGGCGAGCUAGAGUAUGGUAGAGGAAGGUGGAAUUCCCGGUGUAGCGGUGAAAUGCGUAGAGAUCGGGAGGAACACCAGUGGCGAAGGCGGCCUUCUGGACCAGUACUGACGCUGAGGCACGAAAGCGUGGGGAGCAAACAGG